GCUAAUACUCUAGAAGAUGUCAAGCUAGAUCAAUUGAAGAGUCUUGUGAAUGUCCAGUGUUUAGAAUUAAAAGCCAAAGGGCUUCCACUUGAAUUUAUGGAGAAAAAGCAAUGUGAAACAUCCUCCCCAGCCCAGCCAGGCAUUGCCUGCUUACCUCGACUCACUGGGAGUGUUUAGUUGUGGCCUGCCAUGGAGUACCUGGCUAUGCUUUGGCAGUACAAAAUGGUAGCAGAUAUCAUGACACGGGCUUUUCUGAGAAGGUCCAGAAAAACUUGGCAACCCCAGAUGAAUGAGAUAACUCAUCACAUCACGUUUUGUCUUAAGUAUACACCAAGCACUCCUCAGGAACUUCAAGACUUGUGGUCCUUGCUACAUUAUCAGAAGGU